UCUUUAAGGAGGGUAGAUUGUAAUACCCGAAAAAUUCAAAUUAACGUCCGAUGUCAUUUUGGAAAUGAUUUCGUAGGCGUGGGCACGAAUACGAAGCUUGAAGGAGUUGUGGAAUUAGUUCGAACGAUUUUAUUUCGAAAACGAACGUUAUUUAGGGGGUCUUAAAAAGUGACUUCUUAUACGUACAGAAUUUGGGAAAACUUUCUUCAUGAAAGUUGUAGAGCUCGUCGAUACGAUCUCGUGCGUAUGUUGAACGCAAUAUUCGGAGUUUGUAUGAAUAAGUUAUGAAUAUUUGAAAAUCGGGAUUUUUUUUCUAUAAAUAUGGAGAAUUUCUGGAAUUUUUCUUAAAUCCCAAAAUUUCCUAUUCUUUCUAUUUUCUCCCCCGGUUUUCUCUCUUCUCUCUCCUCUCCCCCGACCUUUUUCUCUUCUUUCUGGGCGUUCUUCCUCUGCCAGCAGCGCCACCGUCCGGCCACCUCAAGCCGCUCUCGAGGUGUCCACGGCUUCGCCUCGACGUCGUCUAGCUACUGGACGUGACCACUUUCCCCGGAACGGCCUCAAAUCCGGCAAACCGGAGCUGCAAGGUUUGAGCCAAAAACAGUCAACGCCGGUUUUCUCCUAAUUCCGGCCACCAAAACUCACGAUCCUUAGCUCCCUGAACUCACCUCAACAUGCUGAUCAUCAUCCUAGAAGGAUCGCACCUGGAGUGACCGGAUUCACGUUCGUCGGAGCUCGGCCGGCUUUAAUUCGAAAACCACCUUCGAAUCCGAUUUUCUCGAGUUAUAGACCACCUUUUCUUGUGAUUCUUGGCCUGGUGAGUUCACCUUGAGAUUAUUAACAACUCUCAAGAAGGGAUCGAGGCCUGAGGUUGAAGUUUUUACGUCGGAAUUCAAGCUCGCCGGAUUCUGGAAAAUUUCCGACCACGAAGACUUUCGAUCAAGAUAUCGCGAGCUGUAGUGCAUCGUUUUGAUUGAUUCUUUUUCCAGUGGGUUCCCCUUGAUGUUGUUAACAACUCUCUAGAAGGCAUCGAGGCCUGAAAUUGAAUCUUUGACGUCGAAAUCGAGCCUUGCCGGAUUCUGCAAAAUUCUGGAAUUUUUCCGACCACCGAAGCUUUCGAUCGGUAUAUCUCGAGCUACAGACCAUAUUUUUCUGUGAUUCUUGAACCAGUGAGUUCUUCUUGAGUUUCUUAACAACUCUUCAGAAGGAAUCGAAGCCUUAAAUUGACGUUUUUACGUCGAAUUGGAGCUCGCCGUUUUCUGCAGUUUCUCGCCGGUUUCUGGAAAAUUCCGGCCACCUUCAUACUGUUCAAGGUGAUUGACGGUUUGAGUUGGCGGACGAUUGUGAAUCGUAUUUUGAGCUGUUAAGAAGACGCAGCGGGAUUAGAGCGGGUAAUCCUACAGGUCAGGAGAACCAGGACGGUGAUCGGGCUGCUUAGAGUAGUGUUAUGUGAAUUACAGCAUUAUAUUGUGAGGUUUGUUAUGCUCAUUUAGAGCUUUACGAUUUUACUUUGUAAGAGUGAAUUGUAAUAAUUAACUCGAGGUUUUUCGAGUUUUGUGUUGA